rnacentral:rRNA from 1 species
CGUCGUGAAGAGGGAAACAACCCAGACCGCCAGCUAAGGUCCCAAAGUCAUGGUUAAGUGGGAAACGAUGUGGGAAGGCCCAGACAGCCAGGAUGUUGGCUUAGAAGCAGCCAUCAUUUAAAGAAAGCGUAAUAGCUCACUGGUCGAGUCGGCCUGCGCGGAAGAUGUAACGGGGCUAAACCAUGCACCGAAGCUGCGGCAGCGACGCUUAUGCGUUGUUGGGUAGGGGAGCGUUCUGUAAGCCUGUGAAGGUGUGCUGUGAGGUAUGCUGGAGGUAUCAGAAGUGCGAAUGCUGACAUAAGUAACGAUAAAGCGGGUGAAAAGCCCGCUCGCCGGAAGACCAAGGGUUCCUGUCCAACGUUAAUCGGGGCAGGGUGAGUCGACCCCUAAGGCGAGGCCGAAAGGCGUAGUCGAUGGGAAACAGGUUAAUAUUCCUGUACUUGGUGUUACUGCGAAGGGGGGACGGAGAAGGCUAUGUUGGCCGGGCGACGGUUGUCCCGGUUUAAGCGUGUAGGCUGGUUUUCCAGGCAAAUCCGGAAAAUCAAGGCCGAGGCGUGAUGACGAGGCACUACGGUGCUGAAGCAACAAAUGCCCUGCUUCCAGGAAAAGCCUCUAAGCAUCAGGUAACAUCAAAUCGUACCCCAAACCGACACAGGUGGUCAGGUAGAGAAUACCAAGGCGCUUGAGAGAACUCGGGUGAAGGAACUAGGCAAAAUGGUGCCGUAACUUCGGGAGAAGGCACGCUGAUACGUAGGUGAAGCGACUUGCUCGUGGAGCUGAAAUCAGUCGAAGAUACCAGCUGGCUGCAACUGUUUAUUAAAAACACAGCACUGUGCAAACACGAAAGUGGACGUAUACGGUGUGACGCCUGCCCGGUGCCGGAAGGUUAAUUGAUGGGGUUAGCGCAAGCGAAGCUCUUGAUCGAAGCCCCGGUAAACGGCGGCCGUAACUAUAACGGUCCUAAGGUAGCGAAAUUCCUUGUCGGGUAAGUUCCGACCUGCACGAAUGGCGUAAUGAUGGCCAGGCUGUCUCCACCCGAGACUCAGUGAAAUUGAACUCGCUGUGAAGAUGCAGUGUACCCGCGGCAAGACGGAAAGACCCCGUGAACCUUUACUAUAGCUUGACACUGAACAUUGAGCCUUGAUGUGUAGGAUAGGUGGGAGGCUUUGAAGUGUGGACGCCAGUCUGCAUGGAGCCGACCUUGAAAUACCACCCUUUAAUGUUUGAUGUUCUAACGUGGACCCGUGAUCCGGGUUGCGGACAGUGUCUGGUGGGUAGUUUGACUGGGGCGGUCUCCUCCUAAAGAGUAACGGAGGAGCACGAAGGUUGGCUAAUCCUGGUCGGACAUCAGGAGGUUAGUGCAAUGGCAUAAGCCAGCUUGACUGCGAGCGUGACGGCGCGAGCAGGUGCGAAAGCAGGUCAUAGUGAUCCGGUGGUUCUGAAUGGAAGGGCCAUCGCUCAACGGAUAAAAGGUACUCCGGGGAUAACAGGCUGAUACCGCCCAAGAGUUCAUAUCGACGGCGGUGUUUGGCACCUCGAUGUCGGCUCAUCACAUCCUGGGGCUGAAGUAGGUCCCAAGGGUAUGGCUGUUCGCCAUUUAAAGUGGUACGCGAGCUGGGUUUAGAACGUCGUGAGACAGUUCGGUCCCUAUCUGCCGUGGGCGCUGGAGAACUGAGGGGGGCUGCUCCUAGUACGAGAGGACCGGAGUGGACGCAUCACUGGUGUUCGGGUUGUCAUGCCAAUGGCACUGCCCGGUAGCUAAAUGCGGAAGAGAUAAGUGCUGAAAGCAUCUAAGCACGAAACUUGCCCCGAGAUGAGUUCUCCCUGACCCUUUAAGGGUCCUGAAGGAACGUUGAAGACGACGACGUUGAUAGGCCGGGUGUGUAAGCGCAGCGAUGCGUUGAGCUAACCGGUACUAAUGAACCGUGAGGCUUAACCUUACAACGCCGAAG